rnacentral:lncRNA from 1 species
GAAUGUUUUCAUUCUUUGAGUUUUGGUCAUUUUAAAGGUAUGCAUGCCACUACUCAUUUUUUUGCCUCUGUAGCCAAGUGUUUAAAUAGUGUAUGGACUAAAUCUGGAAUUAUAUGAGCUAAAUUAUAGUAUCAGAGUAUGCUGCUGGUCUUCAGUCUUCCGCUUCAUGGUUUAUCAUAAAAUAAUAUAAUCAUUUCCUCCAUGUGAGAGGUAGCAUAGCAAUAUAUUUAGUGUUAUCCAGCAAGUUUUUUGAGGCAUGUGUGUUCCUCAAAGAAAAAGGUGUGUCAGUCUCGGUGAUAGCCUUUGAGUUUUUGAACAAUUGCCACUGCUAAGGUGAUUGGAAAUUGCUUUGUACACAUUCUACUAGGCUCAUUUUCUGUUAAUCCCUACAAUUUCAGGAAUGAAGGGAAGGGAAGACGUGAGGAGAAAGCUCUACCUGCACAGGACACAAGAUCCUUGCCGGGAAUUCGGUUGUGCUUGUAUGUUACUGUAGAGCGACCAUUUCAGGGUGGAUGUUGAUGGUCUCAGAUUGAUUCGAUGCUGCAGCGAGGUAAAGUUGCUAUUUACUUCUCAAGUUCAGACUUGCAUAUCAAACAAACAUAACUUGGCAGCAAGGUUAACAUCUAGGAAAAAAUAUGUGUGUGUGUGCGCGCGUGCGCGUGCAUCUUGCAUGCGUCAGUGUCGAUACAUUCACAUGUUGAUAAGUAUACGAGCAUGUAGGCAAAUGAUGUCAAGACAAUUCAAGACACACAAUAUAUACUUUGGUAGAGAAAACCUUGUAUAUGUUUCAAUACAUAAUCUAAUGUGACUUUCAUGCAUUUCAAUAUCUACAAGAGGGUUAACACAAGAACCAUACAGUACCAUCUUGGAUCUUCCUGCCAUCAGAUCAAUGUUUUAAUACAUCAUUAGUGCAAGCCCAUACUAGCUGAAAACACAAACAUGGAAUUAGUUUCUAGGGGACGAUGCUUUGUUUGGAUACCAAAAAGAAAAAUAGUACACAUAGAGAGACUUUCUUCGUUGCAGAGUCACAACAUAUAAGGGUGCAUCUUUUGACCAUUUAAUGAAUCAGAGUUUUAAGUAAGACUAACUCAUAACUGGAGCGUGAGAUACUAAUUGCUUUCUUUGUAGUGAAGAUGGCCUCUUUUGGGGUGAGGCACAACUAUAGUUGCACAGCUAAAGUUCCUAUGUUCAAAGGUUAUAACUCCUUUUCCUUUGUAGUUUGGAUUUUGGAAUAAUUAUCCUGGAUAGAUGCUAGAAUGGGAGAAAUACCCAACAAAACACAAAUUUAGCAAUGGACAUGCAUGUCUUUUAAUCACUUCGGCUUGCUUCUAUUGUUUGUGUUUUCAUCUGGUAUGGGCUUUGAAGCAUGCCGUCGUCAGAAAGAAUCCAUCAUUUUGUCAAAAUAUUGGAUGUAUAACUAAUUCCAUGUUUGUGUUUUCAGCUGGUAUGGGCUUGCACUAAUGAUGUAUUAAAACAUUGAUCUGAUGGCAGGAAGAUCCAAGAUGGUACUGUAUGGUUCUUGUGUUAACCCUCUUGUAGAUAUUGAAAUGCAUGAAAGUCACAUUAGAUUAUGUAUUGAAACAUAUACAAGGUUUUCUCUACCAAAGUAUAUAUUGUGUUUCUAUUGUUUGCCUGAGUAAUCUGAAUUCACCUUAUAUUGUUGAAGUUAUUGGUCUAUCAAUUAUUUAUCUGUAUUUCAUUUUGCCAAAAAAGCAAACAAACAGAAGAGCCAAACAUUGCAUGCUUCGACAGACGAAACCUGCCCACGGAGGUGGUGGCGCCGGUGGUAGGCGGCAAUGAGGCAACAACGCUUCAUGAGGCGGUCAAGUCUGUGGUCGUGAGCCGAUGCAUCCACCAACGCCGCAAUCGAGUCAACUUCAGGACUCCAUUAGUGAUAGUUGGCUGUGUUAAAGGAAAAAAUUAUUAGGAUAAUAGAAACUGUUGGGAUAAUUUCUUUCUAUAGUGGAUGAAGUUAUUUCAAGUAACAUAUCUUGGUUUCUCCCUGUAGUCGUGUACUUAAGAAAAGCUCCAACACAAUGAAAUGGCAGCAAAGAAGCCCGUAUUAUGUUAGCACAAAAUACAUUUGGUAUUUGGCCUUCUUUUUUUNNN